rnacentral:rRNA from 1 species
GACAGAGGGUGCAAACGUUGUUCGGAAUUACUGGGCGUAAAGCGCACGUAGGCGGCUUGGUAUGUCGGGUGUGAAAUCCCCGGGCUCAACCUGGGAACUGCAUCCGAAACUGCCUUGCUAGAGUAUGGGAGAGGGAAGUGGAAUUUCCGGUGUAGCGGUGAAAUGCGUAGAUAUCGGAAGGAACAUCAGUGGCGAAGGCGACUUCCUGGACCAAUACUGACGCUCAGGUGCGAAAGCGUGGGGAGCAAACAGG